AAAAAGAUUCAGGGGCACCUGGGUGGCUCAGUCGGUUAGGCACCUGACUUUUGGUUUCGACUCAGGCUAUGAUCUUGCAGUGGUAGGAUA